rnacentral:rRNA from 1 species
AACACAUGCAAGUCGAGCGGCAGCACGGGGAGCUUGCUCCCUGGUGGCGAGCGGCGGACGGGUGAGUAAUGCAUAGGAAUCUGCCCGAUAGUGGGGGAUAACCUGGGGAAACUCAGGCUAAUACCGCAUACGUCCUACGGGAGAAAGCAGGGGACCUUCGGGCCUUGCGCUAUCGGAUGAGCCUAUGUCGGAUUAGCUGGUUGGUGAGGUAAUGGCUCACCAAGGCGACGAUCCGUAGCUGGUCUGAGAGGAUGAUCAGCCACACUGGGACUGAGACACGGCCCAGACUCCUACGGGAGGCAGCAGUGGGGAAUAUUGGACAAUGGGGGCAACCCUGAUCCAGCCAUGCCGCGUGUGUGAAGAAGGCCCUCGGGUUGUAAAGCACUUUCAGUGAGGAAGAAGGCCUUGGGGCUAAUACCCUCGAGGAAGGACAUCACUCACAGAAGAAGCACCGGCUAACUCCGUGCCAGCAGCCGCGGUAAUACGGAGGGUGCGAGCGUUAAUCGGAAUUACUGGGCGUAAAGCGCGCGUAGGCGGCUCGAUAAGCCGGUUGUGAAAGCCCCGGGCUCAACCUGGGAAUGGCAUCCGGAACUGUUGGGCUAGAGUGCAGGAGAGGAAGGUAGAAUUCCCGGUGUAGCGGUGAAAUGCGUAGAGAUCGGGAGGAAUACCAGUGGCGAAGGCGGCCUUCUGGCCUGACACUGACGCUGAGGUGCGAAAGCGUGGGUAGCAAACAGGAUUAGAUACCCUGGUAGUCCACGCCGUAAACGAUGUCGACUAGCCGUUGGGUUCUUCGAGAACUUAGUGGCGCAGUUAACGCGAUAAGUCGACCGCCUGGGGAGUACGGCCGCAAGGUUAAAACUCAAAUGAAUUGACGGGGGCCCGCACAAGCGGUGGAGCAUGUGGUUUAAUUCGAUGCAACGCGAAGAACCUUACCUACCCUUGACAUCGAGAGAACUUGGCAGAGAUGCCUUGGUGCCUUCGGGAGCUCUCAGACAGGUGCUGCAUGGCUGUCGUCAGCUCGUGUUGUGAAAUGUUGGGUUAAGUCCCGUAACGAGCGCAACCCUUGUCCCUAUUUGCCAGCGAUUCGGUCGGGAACUCUAGGGAGACUGCCGGU